AAAGUCUCCUAUUAAAAUUCUAUCUCUACAGGUGUUAGUUUUACAAACAAAAACAAGCAUUCGCCUUCGCCCUGUGUGCUGUGGCGGUCAAGCAGCGCGGCACCAAAGCUAAACGCGGUGUUUUGCAAUUUGAACCAAACCCAGUCGGUGAGUGUGAGAGUAUAGUUCAGCAAGUUCUUGAUAGGAGGCAUCACAUUGCUAGGUUCACAAGACAUUCUUUGAGUCUUGAUGACUUUCAUCAUUUUCUGUUUUCAACCGAUCUUAAUCCACCCAUGUAGUAUAAGGUCAAUCACGACAUGACUGCACCACUGUCACAUUAUUUCAUAUACACCGGACAUAAUUCGUACUUGACCGGGAAUCAGCUCAAUAGUGAUUGUAGUAAUGUUCCAAUCAUAGAAGCACUUAAAAGAGGCUUGCGAGUUAUAGAACUUGCUUUAUGGCCAGACUCAAACUCACGCAAGGGUGCUAUACAUGUUAAACAUGGAGGGCAUGCUUAGAAGUGGAUAUAGUUGCAUACGGAGGUUCAGACCCUCACUCGGCUGUAUUAGAGCACCAAUAUAUCCAUAUUCAUAAAAUGGUACUGCUUUUUGUUAAUAACUAUACCAAGUUAACUUGAAACUCGUGUAUUCAUUAAAGGAUUGUUACGUCCUUCACUAAAUAUGAGUUUUCUGGUUCUGCAGAAACCCUGGCCAGCAAUCCCUCAUAUGCCAAAGAUACUUCAGCCUUUAAUGCUUUUAUUUAAGCCUGUGUUUCAAUUUUUAGUGCUGCUUUGGUUUCUUUGUGUUAAAAUACCCGUUCCGGAUGUUUUCAUUGUACAAAUACAACUUCUAUCCAGUCUCGACCUCAAGAAAACUCCUCAGCUAUUGGAACUGGUGGAAGGAUGUCGAGGAGCUCAUGAGUUUAGCUCCAGAAAAGGUUGUCCUAAAAUGGAUGAACUUUCAUUUGAAGAAAGCCGGAUAUGAAAAGGAGGUUACCAAUUUUUCUUCGGAUUUAAAGGUGAGGGAUAAAUUUGUCAAAAUCCAGUCACAGUGGAAGUGUGGAACUUAUUCAUAUCUUCAGUAGUAAAGAUAUAACAUUUUUUAUCUAUCUGACGAGAUGAAUUUCUUAAAGUAAACUUUGUUAUUGCUAGAUUCAUCAACGAUUGUAUUCUAUAUAGUGAUUUGGGCUGAAUGAGUGCGAUUUUGACAAGGUUUGAUGAUAGGCAAAAAAACAGUGACGUGGGUUGUGGGGACAGUUAAAUAUAUGCUUUUACUGCAAGAUGUAACCGCUGUUUUCUCAUAUUCCUGUGUAAUAUUAUUUCAAGGGUGAUAAGUGUUUGAUAACAUUCUAUGCAUUUCUGGAAAUUUCGCAGGGAAAAGGUAACAAUCCCGGCAUCGAAGCCGUAUAUCUCCUUGAUUGGAAAUCAGAAUGUAGCAAGACAAACAGUGAUAGCUUAGGGUGACAAAGCUUCUGAUAUAUCCAAGGAUGGCAUUGUUCUUGGCACCUACAGAUCAGCUUCCAUCACUGUCCUAUUCGAUUACUUCUGAGCGGCUGGGAUCACUUUCGAGGUACUUAUCAGGCCUUUUCUUAGUAACUGAAUUAUUCACAUUUGGUUAGUAUGUGAUGUUAUGACGAGGUUUAGCUCAUUGAUAAAAUCUGGUGAAUGUUUGCAACUGCUCACAAGAUAAAAAAUUGUUUAUACUUUAUAUCGUGCAGGAGAGACGACGGUAGUCCAUUAUCACUACUCACAAACUUUUUAAAGAUGAAUUGGGUCAAAAUUCUCUAAGAAUAAAAGAAAAUACGAUCAUCUAUUUAACAGUCCUAGAGGCUUCACCCUCUCAAGGUUUAAGUCUUUAUGUUUUGUAAAUUUAUUUUUACGGAAGAUAAUUAUGCGCAGACUUGGUGUGUCUGGAGGUUCUGUCCAAUCACUUUUUUUCAAAAACUUAAAUUAUUAGUCACCCACAUCGUUGCAUGUGUAACAGAAAUAAGAUCCAUUCAGUUUUAAUUUAGGGAAGUUGAUUCCAUGCUGCCUAUUUUUUCUUAAUGUGGGUGUACCACUCUCCCCUGAAAAGAUGUAGAAAGGGAGUUAUCAAGUCAGGUCUUGGUCUCCAUUAAGAGAUUAAGACUGAGAAGAGAAAGAAUAGCAUUUAUAAAUUUGUUUUGUACAUUGUCUGAUUCGUAAGUGUGUUGUGGAUCAUCGGCAAUUUAAUACAAGGGGAACAAAAUUAUGGAAGAGAAAUGUCACCUUGAGCUUGGUGAGGUGAUUUAAUUUUUCAUUUAUAUGUGUUGUCAUAGAUAGUUUCAGUUUUAGAUUAUAUCUAGAAUAUGAAUGUCGAUAUAGAAAUGUCCUUUAUUUUUUCAGUUUAAAUCUAUAUAUUGCAAUUUGGCCUGGCUAUGCAAUAAAACUUCACCUAAUCGAAAACGAAAUUGAAAGACAGUUGUUUGUACCUUGAGAAUAUUUUUGAUAGAACUUUUACAUAUCUAUCUAUAUGUUUAUUGUUAAGUAUCUCAUGUUAAGGUUAGUUGCGCUGAAACUUUUUGGAUUAAAGCAUCCUCCUAUUUGGUUUUCUAUUCGAUAUGUUAUACUGACUUUCAGAGUUUUAUUUAGUCACUGCCAAUGUUGUAAUUGUUUUGUAAGUGUUGAAUUCCUAAAUAUGUUUUAGAGUAAGCAUAAAAAACUAUACUAUAUACUUUUUCAUAGGCAUCUGUGGCUGUGUAUCUCUUUCAUCAAAUGAAUGGUUUCCGGUUUACAAGCUGUGUUGCUAUACAUGCCUGUAGAGAAAUAACAUACUGUUGUUUGACAUUUUAUGUCACAAAUAGUUGAGAUAUUAAGAUUAAAUUGUAUAUCUCAACAAAGAUUUAAUAAAAUAAUUUUAUUUUAUCUCAACAAAUGUGUUAGUUCACCAGCUCUACACAUUAGACAAACAAGAAUACAGAUAAAGAGUUAGCUCUUGCUCUUUAGGCAUCACCCUUAUUGUCGUAACAU